UACAUAUGCCAGUUGCAACAGUUUCCACAAGGCGAUGCAAAACAUACCAAUUUCUGCUUCUGCUUCUGCUUCUCAUUAUGAAUUUGCUGAUGACCACAAGAAUGUUCUGAAAAACCUGGAAGAAUGAAGUUGGUGAUAUCACACUGUGGGAAAAAUCGCUCACUGAGAUCCUUGGACUUGAAAUCGAUUCGUACAUCCAUGUAAUAACUGGCAUGAAAAGCUCCAGAACAUGUAACAAAGAGCUGAUUUUCUUGCAACAUUGCGAUCUCUCGGUCAUUUAUAAUUUGUCAAGGAAUCUCUGGGCUGGGCCACUUCUCUUCUUUCUAGUGAGAAUCAGCUUUCCCACUUAAUUGACAAUAAUAGUGGCCUGUGCCAAUAGUCCAUGACUAACAUGAAAAUUUGCAGAACAGUGAUACCAGAUGAGAAGAAUCAAUGAUCGGAAAGACUCCAUAAACAGUUCAAAGAAUAUUUGAUUUAUGGUCUACAUCCAUGAAAAAUGUAGGUCAGACAUCUGAUUCAAAUAAGGAGGACUCUAAUCAUUGAUUCACUUUUGAGAUUUGGUAUCAAAAAUACUUUUUAAAGCGAUCAUAAAAAAAUCCAAAUGAGAAUGUUCAAAGCCUGCAUCAAAAUGCUUUUGAUUGAUUCCACAAUAAGUCAGUUUCACAUAAUGUAACAGCUUUCCCCAAUGAGCAAAAUCGAAUGAGAGGACAGAGGAUGGAAAGACAAACAAUUGAGGGGAAAUGUAAUUAUGUUAAUCAUCUCAUCAUUGUUCAUUGCCCAUGAAAUGUAAUGGAACCAUAAUGCACACAGUUUUGUACAGAGCAAAGCACACUGGAAUGUGUAUUGGCCCAAUACCAGGAGUUUAAUUUGGGAAUUAUGCUGGUGAUCUGACAGGGGAUUAUGGAAAAGCAAAGGGACUGAGACCACCACCAGGACAUAGACUCACACCACUUGGAUCCCAAACCAACUGCAAAGCCAAACUGAAAUUGUCUCUGUACUAGCAGAGGGCCAAGCCCUUCAAGUUUUUUUUAUAUUUUCUCAUGAAUCAUAGCUGCCCCCAGAAACUUUGGAAACAAAAAGUUCCAACAUCGAUAUCAGAUCUAGCUCCAAUUUCAUACAGUUAACACAAAAUAUUAAAAUACCUAUAUGAUGUUGGGAAGAGAUUUAAUAAUGAUAACUUGUAUUCAACAAUGUAAGUUUUAUUUAAAAAAUUGCCUUUUCUGACAUCCAUUUAAUGGUAUGGGGAGUAUUAACUCCAAGAGAAGCAAUUAUUGCAGUACCAGUACUGUCCAAUUUCAUCUAUUAAAUAAGUAAUAGUUUGGUUUCAGCCCGUUUUUUAUCUAUUCAUGGGAGAGGGCAUUGCUGUCUAGUAUUUUUUUGUUUUGUGUUUAAUUUUAAUUCAAAUUUCACCAUCUGCCAUGGUGGGAUUUGAACCCAGGUCCCCAGAAGAUUCCCUGAGUCUCUGGACUUACAGGACAUCACCUUCUCUGGUGCUAAUGUAGAUGUAGAGGGCAUGAUGAGAAAAAGAUCCUGCAUUCUAAAGCAUAACCAUUUGAUAGUACAGAAAGUGAGCAUUUCCUUCCAAAAGGUAGUAAACUGAAGGUGUAACACUUCUUUAAUAUUGCACUGAAAUAUCUGUUUAGACAGUGUGCCUUGCAUUGGGGAGCAUUCCUUUCUUUUGACUUUACCAUGUGCAACAAGGGAUGUGCUUACACUACAACUGCAAAGUUUACGUAUAGCAGCUUCACCAGGCACUUGUCUUGCAGUUAUAGUGUAAGUGUAGCCUAAGUCACAGUAGGGUCUGUCAUGACACUCGAGAAAAAUGAAGUAAGACUCCCAGUGGGAAGAAAACUUAACUUAUAAUCAACUCAUUUUGUAUCAGUGGAAAGUCCAAAAACCUAUUUGCUUACAUAAUACAAAAAAUCCAUUGAAUCUAAGUAAUCUCAAAGCACAAUAACAUCUACCAAUAAAAUUCAUGGGAAAUCUAUCCAUUGUGAAAAAACGACCUCAGCAUUGAGGGAGGUGUGAAAGCGUAAUUUAAAGAUUACUGCUCAUAAUAUGUGUUUCAUUGAGAAUUAUCCUAAGAUAUUUAGCAAGAAAGUACAUUUCUGAAUUCUAGGCAUUCCAUGGAAAAGCAGAAAUUCUCCAAAUGCAUUGUUCACUUCACUUUAUGUCGAUGGGAGUAAAGACAGGUUCACAUUUUAGGUGCAAUUUUCAUCAGAAUUGACAAACUGCAGCUAGAUUUGGUUUUAUUUCCUUUUGGAUAUUGACUGACCUGCUACAUAUUUUUACAAUUUUGGUACUACUUUCUCAAGGGUAAUUAGAAGUCAGCAACAAAUGCGAUCAUAUCCCAUGAUUCUUUUUAAGUGUAAAAUUGAAAUGCAAUAAAUCUUUUAUAUUGGUUUUUAAUAAAAUACUCUCCCCUUUUGUGAGGGUCCCAAGACAAUCCAUCAGUCCCUGUCUGUAAAAGUGGGCAAGGACUUGCAUUUCCUGCUGAAGCUACUUUGUUCCUGGUCUGCAGCUGAUUUUCUGAAGAGGUGCAUGAUUUCUCCCGUUUGAGGCACUUCCACUAAAUAACUCCUGCGAGAUAUGGGGAAUUCAUGAGUCUGUAAAAGUGUGGGAGAGGGAUGAGGACAGAGUCAAGGAAGCAACAACAUUAGGCCGACAGUUCUCAACAGGAUAAUUAAUGUAUCGCUACACUAAUCUCUGUUUGAUUCCAAAUCUUACCUUGUCAUGGUAGCUUGAUAGACUUUCUAACUGUAAUGGGAGCUAUUAGAUGGAAUAGCGCAUUGAAACUUGUGAAAUAUUUAAUUGCAAACAGGGUUUACCAAUAACGGUUUGUAUAAAACUGUAUCUGCAUCUUGAGUAGUCAAAUGUCCAUGGAGUAAUCAGCAGGAAGGAACCUAUUAUGAAGAUGAUCUGAUUUUAUAGGUAAUGCAGGUUAAGUAUGACAUUUUGCUUUUCAUUGCAUUGAUUUGAGUGACUGCCUGCUGCUUUUUGAAAAUUAUUCCUGCCUUCUCCUCAUUUUCACAAACAUGUACACUUGCAUAGUUUCCAAGUAAAAUAACUUCAGUGUUGUUCUAGGCCCAUAAAGACUUCUUUCCCGCGUCUCCUGGCUGCAAGCCCAUUUUAUGUCUGGGAUGUGGCAAGCA